CCAUACCUGUAAUUGCAGAAACAUAAUCCACUUAUUUAUAACCCUUUUUAAACAAACAAAUCAUAUUCUUUGUUCUUUCUUGUUUCAAAAGAUAAAUAAGUUUUCCGAUCAGUCGAUAAUAAAAAAUUGUCCUCACCCGUUAAUUAAAAAUGUAGAAUAGCAAGUGGCGUGUAUGGUUUUACUUAUUUAUCUAACCCUUCCCUAUUUAAACUCAUCUCAACAAUCUCCCAUCGUUAAAUAAUCUUCAAAGAAGGAAUCGGUGAUUCAUAUGUUAAUCGAAAGAAUCAUAUCGCGUCGUGGUUAAGUGAUAGUGAUUAGCGAGUGAGGGUGAAUGAGUAGCUGUGUAGCAGUGAAUAAGAAAGCAAACGUUCUUCAACGAUAUAUGAUCGGUUGAAUCAUUGUGCGAAUCGAAGUGAGGCGAUGUUCCAACGUACGUAAAAGUUCUAAGGAUCGAGAAUGAACAAGGGAGAGAAAUGGAGAAUAUAUUUUUCUACAAAUGUGUCGCAUCAAUAUUUCAGCAUCGAACGAAAUGGAGUAGGUAGAGAGAAAAAAAAGAAAAGAAAAGAAAAGAAAAGAAAAGAAAAGAAAAGAGGAAGAAGGAAAGUACAGGCAGACAGGGUAGGUAGACAGGGUAGGCCGGCAAGCAGCAGGCAAGCCGGCAGGCAGGCAAGCAAGCAAGCAAACACAAGCAAGCAAGCAAGCAAGGAAGGAAGGUAGGUAGGUAGGUAGGGUAGACGAAGUCCGUGGAGCGUUUCCACGGUAGAGAUGCGGAGAAGACGACAGUGUACGAGAGCUGGCAACGUUGGACGGGUAUAAUACUCUGGUCUGCGAACGGCAACAGCGCAGAAGGGAUCCUCGUUGAGAGAGAUCGUUUGGGAUUUCGAAGAAGGGAGGAGACCCUGUAAUCCUCUGCCCGUAGAAACCUCUCGCGAUACCCGACACGAGAGCGGAGGAAAUUAAGUCGAAGGAAGAGAAAGACGGAUAGAGGUUAGAGGAGGUAGAGAUGAAAAAGGAGGAAGAAGAGGAAGAGGAGGAUGAAGAGGAGGUAGAGGUAAAGGUAGUGGUAGAGGUGGAGAUAUAGAUGGAAGAGAAGCAAGAGAAGGGGGAGAAAAAGAGGAGAGGAGGAGAGGAGUGAAGAGGAGAGAGCGCACGCGCGUAAAAGCAUUUGCGCGCGGCUGAAAGAAGCCGAGGAGAGGGGCGAAGAGGGGAAAGAGGAGAAAGGAGACACCGAGACGAGACCUCGAUCGAAGUCUUCCUCCGGCGGCGCAUUCAGAUCCGUACGGAUAAAAGCCCUUGCGGAUGUUUUUGCAGAGCGGCCAUGACGGCAGCCUUUCCCUCGCUCGUAGAAAGAAGAUAAACUGAUAUGUAUAUAUUUCAUGUAUUUUACCGAGUCGAAACGUGCGUACAGAAGAAGGAAGUAUAUCGAAAUGCUCGAGGGGAUAUAUAUUCGAGAAAAAGAAGACUACUUCAAAAAGAAGGUAUAUGUAUGAAAGAGAGUAGGGUAUAGAGAGAGGAGAGAGAGAGAGAGAAAAUGGCGUCGGUAAAGGUUAUCCACCAUUACGUUUAGUCACCGACGACGUAUAUCUUCCAGACAGUUUUUUCUUUUUCUUUUUCUUUCUUUCUUUCUAUUUUUUUUCUUUUUCCCCCGAUUUUAUUCCUCCAAAGAGCUCAGAAUAUUGUAUUUUGUAUAAAAAUGAAAAAAGAGUUAGUAGAAAGAGGUUGGUUGCUCUCGGUGAGAAUAAUACACGAGUAUGGGUAUAACGUCCAUCGAUGAUGACGAGAUGGUGGAGAAAGAAUAGGAGGGGAAGAGAAGAGGAAAGAAGAGGAGGAGGAGGAAGACGAACGAGAGAAUGACGGCGUAGUUCCCUCGACGCAGAAAUAAGGGGAGAUUGGGGUGCGGUGAGAGGGAGGUUGAACUGGGGAAGAAGCAGGUUCUCUCAUUCUUUCUUUCUCUCUCUUCCUCGACGGAGAAAGAGAAAGAGAGAGAGAGAGAAACAGAGUGCGCAAGGAGUGGGGAUAAUCGUCGAUAAGAGGAUGAAAGAGCCACGGUGAUUGGUCGAACGGUAAGAGAAGAGCGACGCGCAGACGCAGACAUCGAAGGCUCGACUUCUCUCAGCGAGUCGAUCGGCCGAUCUCGCGCGAGUUGCACGUACUCUUCUGUUCGCUCUCUUUAAAAAAAAGAAAAAAAGAAAAAGAAAGAAAAAAUCGAUUCGAUCGAGUAAAACUUCCGAUAUAUUUUUCUUUUGACAACGCAACAACAACAACGACAACAACAACGACAACGACGACACAACGCCGCAACGAGGAUAUAUUUUUUAUCCGUAUUUUUUUCGAACGGCGAAAAGAAGUAUCGAUGAUAUUAGCAGCCGUAUCAAAAUUAAACAAAAACAAAAAUCCGUCUCGAAAUUCGUUUCCAACUACGUCCUUCUUACGGGGUUUUUUGCGUUUUGUUCUUUUUGAUAAAAGAAAGCAAACGAUUAAAAAAAAAAAAAAAAGGGAUUAAUGAGACACGGAUAGAAAAGGAGGAGGAGGAGGAGGAGAGACAUAUGCCUUGUUGGAAGAGGGUUGAGAAGAGGGGGAAGAGAAGAUUUGCGAGAUAAAACGCAACACACUCGGAUUAUUUCAACGUCCGUACAGAAAGAAACAGAGAGAGAGAGAGAGAGAGAGAGAGAGAGAGAGAGAGAGAGAGAGAGAGAUCAUUUUCUCUAGGGCUCUAGAAAACAGAAGCAAAAGAGCAUGGUGGAUUUUUCUUUUUCUUUUUUUUUUUUUUGUUUUUUUGUUAAUUUCGUCUACACACAUCCCUCUCCUAUUUCGUAAUAAUAACGUUUUUAAAAGAGAACAAUUUGCUGCGGGUUCGGACACUUUAAACGACGACACCGUGAAAAACACAGCGUCGGCGUUUCAAUCUUUUUUCUCUUUCCCUUUUUUUUUCUUCUUUUCUUUUUUAUUUUUUUCUCGUUUGUACAUCUCGGAAGUUCGUUGUUAAUGAUCGAACAUCGUGGGCGUGGUUCCUCGCUAAAGCGUGUGAUCCGAUUCGCAGAUGGGCCGAUGCGCAAUUACGUCGUUGCGUCGCAAGUUUCUCUCUACGUUCGGCUUGACGACCAACGACGACGACGACGACGAUACGCGUGGACGACUAACUACGGUUAGAGAAAAGAGGAAAAGAUUCUCUAAAAAAAAAAAAUGGACAGAGGAUUUAAUUAAAAAAAAAAAAAAAAUUACAAAGAUCUUUUUUAAAGGUCUUGAUGAUCGUCCAUAUUCUCUUUCUCUCUUUCUCUCUUUCGCUCUCUCUCUCUCUCUCUCUCUCUCUCUCUCUCAUAACAUAUCCCCUUAUUUUCGAAGAACAAAAGAGAACACGACGAAAUUGUUCUCUUUACAACUACUAUAACAGAGUAAAAAGUUGACAAUAAUAACGUAAAACGUACUCGGGAAAAUUUCUAUCAACGAAGAACGAAUGAAUUUAUAUUUUCAAAAUGGCGUGCGUUUAAGUAAUAUAAAAAUGAGAGAAAACGGAAACGAAUGAACGUACUUCAGGGGUGUAUAUGUAUACUUCUCAGAAAAAUACAUAUAUACAUAUAUAUAUGUAUGCUUCUCGCUCGUGAAUUAAUAUCACAAAAUUAAGAGAACUCGAAUCGACAGUUCAAAUCGUGACGUGUAGAAAAGAGUGUUUAGUUAAGAUCAAAACAAGAUAGAAAAAACGAACUCUCAGCCCAACAAGCCGACUCCAACUAUUCCCUUCGAAAAACAAAACAAAAAGAAAAAAAAAAAGCAGAAAACAAAACGAAAAAGAAAUAUUUAAGUUCCUUUCAAUCGUAUUUUCAAAACAAGGGCGUAUGAUAGUAGGAUACAGGUUUGAGGGAAAAAAAAAAGGGAAGGAAUAAAUAAGUCUGGAACUUUGUUCGAGCAUUGCUACGACAAAUUCGAACAAAGUAAAAAACUCUCCAGUAUGGCUGCUGUUGCUGCUACUGUUGCUGCUGCGAUUACUGUUGUUGCUGUUUCUAUUGCUACUGCUACUGUUACUGCUGAGCUGAGCUGAGCUGAGCUGCGCUGCGCUACUGCGUUUCUCUCACGCGGUGAAAAUUUCACGCGAAAUUCUUCUCAACAAAAAAAGCCGUUCGAUUCGUCGCAGCUGCAAGGUUCUCGAACCGCACCAAACGAACGAACGAACGAACGGUUAGAAGGAGCGAUAGCGUUCUGCGUCGCGGUCGCGUACCUUCUUUCACUCUACUCUUCUCUCUUCAUCUCCCCUCUACUCUCAAUCCCAAUCCCAAUCCCCAAUCCCCAAUCCCCAAUCCCCAAACCCCAAACCCCUCUGAACCUCUCACGUUCCGUCAGCAAAAUAAGAAGGCAUACAAGGGAGCGGCGGUACAUACGAUCGAAGGCACUCGAGGAGAAGUUUCUCUCUCUCUCUCUCUCUUUCUCUUGCACGACGAACGAAGGAGAGCAUUUACGAACACGCACGAACAACACACAUCGGGCGACGUCGUCUUUUUCCGUGGUGCGUCGUGCGAAUACGUAGGAGAGAAGGAAAAUGGAGGAAGGUUGCUUUGCUGCUGCUGCUGAUGCUGCUGCUGUUGGGGUAAAGAGGGGAAAUCGAGUGCCACGGUGGCUGGCCGACUGGCUGGCGAAGCGAGCCGUGAACCAUGUCUCUCCCCCCUCCUCUCACCCCACUUCCCCCCCACCCACCUAUUCCCGUCAAACAAAACCUCUUCUCUCUCUCUCUCUCUCUCUUUCUCACCAUACUCUCUAUCUAUCUAUUCAUCUAUCUAUCUAUCUAUCUAUCUCUCUUUCUCAUUCUUCUUUGCUCACUCUGCUCGCGCGUCAAGGAAUUUUACUCGCACGGACUUGCUGCUGGCUCUUCCAUAGCAGGGCUUCUUCUUUUCUCUCUUCUCUUUUUCGUUUCUUCCUUCUCUCUGCUCGACGAAUGCAAGACGAACUCUUGUCCUCGGUUUAACAAGACGAGGAUGUAUAUAUGUUAUGUAUAUACAUGUGUGUUUGUAAGUAUAUAUAUAUCUUGAUCUCUGUGUUACACUACGUUCAGAUAUUCUCUGUAGGUCAGAACGGGGAUGCUGAAUUGAGGAUUCAAACGGAUUAUUCUUUCAACCAUUUCUCUUCUCUUCUUAGAUGAUACAUGAUAAUAUUACGAUGUAACGAGGUUUCUUUCAGAUAGGAUGAAGAAGGAGGAGGAGAAGAAGAAAAAGUGAAAUGGAUUUGGGGAUAGAAGAAUUUGUAAGUUUUAUGCGCAAGAGUUCGUCUUUGUAUUCGUUAAUGAAUUCUUCCUUCAUCCCGAAGAAUCUUUCUCUUUAUAGUUCGAUCUUGCUUGCAAUUUAAUUAUUUUACACGCGACAUAAUCUCCCGUCCGGCCGCCAUUUUGUGUUGUUCCGUCUAGAACGACGGAGACGCGGGCCUGGAACGAGUUAACAAAAAAAAAAAUAAAAGGAGAGAGAGAGAGAGAGAGAGAGAAAAGCGCACCGUUUCAAACGAACGCACAGUGCGAAUAAUUUUAUUUUAAAAAGAUGAAUGUCCCUUUUUUCAGCUAUGUAUGUGUACAUGUAUGUUUUAUGAAACUACAUCAAAAAAUGGGGAAACGAACGAGCGUUCGUUAACUUUUAAGAGCGUUGCUCUCGUCUUUCACGAGCGAGCAUAAAUCAUAAAUCUCUUCACAUCGAAUAUCUAUAUAUGAUAUAUACGUAUCUAUGUAUAUAUGUGUACGUAUGUAUGUAUAUAUACAGACAUAUAUACACAUACACAUAUAUAUAUGUAUGUAUGUAUAUACAUAUAUAACAGCCUAGAAAAUGAAUUUUCUAGGAGAAUCACAAAACGUGCUAUGAUCGAAACGUUGAGAGUGCUCGGACCAAUCGUUCGUCUUUCUACGUUUGAAACAGGAGACGAACAGGAAAUCAAUACAUCGGCCCACGGUUAAGAGUUGAGGGUGAGAGGGGAGGAAAAGAGGCGCAGGGGGUGAAAAGAGAGAGAUAGAGAUAGAGAGAGAGAGAGAGAGAGAGAGAGAAGCGUAUAGGACAAAGCAUACAAGUAAAAAAAAGGGGAAAAGAAAAACUCUCCUUCCGUAAACUCAUCGGUGUUAGGCGGCACACAAUCGUAGAAAGUAUUAUUAUCAGUAGUACGUUCUCAUCCUCUGAUUAACUUCAAAUAUAUAUCGUACUUUAAUCAUCGCACGUGUACGCGUUCAUAUCUCAUAUAAACGAUGAUAAAAUAUAUGCCGAUGACGCGUCGAUAAACUUUCCUAUAUGCGACAUAACCUCAACAAAUAUCAUUUUCUCCCUCGUAUAUAUACUACUCGACCCAAAAAUCUAAUACCUUUAUCGAUUGAAUUCAUUCGAUCCCGUUAAUGAUACUUUACUGUUAUAUUUCAACGUAUAUCAGUCAGUAUAAAAAAUAUUCCAAAACAUUCUCGCGGAGUUGUUGUACAUGGCUCUUAUCCAACAUUAUCUUUUAUUGAGGGCCAUCCAUUUCUCUUCGAAUUAUUAAUUACAAAAUGGCGGUUAACAAUAUUCUGAGAGAAUAUUAAACGAAGAAGAUAGGAGAGAAGAGAUGCAUGCACGAAACUUUGUUCUCCUUGGAUGUAAUAAAAAUGCUUGAAAUGGGAUAAUAGAUAAUAUUAAAAGGGAAAGAAAAGAAAUAUUUGAGAAUCAACGGGUUUGAAAAGUUCUCUCGUUUGAAGUUUCUGAUAUGAGCGGCAAUUCUCGAAUGCGAGUUACAACGAAUGAAUGGUUAGCGAUUCUACGAAAAGAAAUGUGGAUAAAAAGAAAACAAUGCGGGAGCAGCACCACGCAGCGACAACGUCGACAUCGUCGACGAUGUCCAACAACGACGACGACGACGACGACGACUACGACGAUGAUGACGAAGACGACGAUGAAGACUAUAAGAGAGAGAGAGAGAGAGAGAGAGAGAGAGAGAGAGAGAAAGAGAGGAAGGCUUUUGUUCCCUCGUAGUUUCCCCUCGAUGCUUCUCGUCUUCUUCUCGUAUCCAACGCUCUGGCUCUUUUCAAGCAAAUAAAAACAUCGUCCGGUACCACAAAGACGUUGGGUACGAGAGGCCCCCGGAAACGUUAGGGAGAUGGGGGCUGGACUAAAAGGAGAAAGAGAGGAGACCAAGAGAAAUUCCGAAUAAAACCUAUCGUUGGGGCUACGUCCUUUUUUCACAUUGUUUCUCUCCCACGCCCGUAAACUUUCCUAUUAACCUCGACGUUACCUAACAACAUUCUUUAUAAAUUCCAAUAUACGUGGAACGGAGAAGCCCCGAAGAAAGAGGGUUAAAGUAAAGAGCUUAGUCGAAGCACGCUAGAAAAGAUAGAUAAAGAAGGGGAAAAAGAAAAAGAAAGGAAGAAAGAAAUUGAAUCGAGUAUGAAAUAUGAUGAAUAGCGAGAAAAAUACAAAUGGCGAUCGAUACAUUCAUGGCAAAUUCAUAACGAAUUCUGUGGAAAAUAUACUACGUUUCAACGAUUACAAAAGAUAAGUUGACUUCGUUCAUCUGUUCGUUCGUUCGUUCGUUCGUCGUUCGUUCGUUCGUCAUACGUUCGUCGUUCGUUCGUUAUCACGGAACGGUUUCUCUUCGUGUACUGUUUCAGUAACGUUACAAAUAACAUACUACUACUACACCGUGAGAAAGAAAAUUGGGAUGAGUUUCUUGGCUAGGCUUUUUUCUUUUGCUCUUAAGGCUGACGAGACUAGCCGAAGAAGAAGAAGAAGAAGAUGAAGAUGAAGCAGAAAGCAGCACCGAUGUAAGCCGCAAACGUCGUAGAAGCAAGCAAGCAAGCAAGCAAGCAAGCACAAGCAAGCAAGCAAGCAAGCAAGCAAGAAGCAAGCAAGCAAGCAAGCAAGCAAGCAAGCUAGCUAGCAAGCAAGCAAGCUAGCAAGCAAAGCAGGCACCGGCAGGCCAGAAACGAGCAAACGAGAAGGAAGAAGUGGCAACAGCGCUUAUCCGAGCAAGCAAGCAGCGAGAGCGACGGUGGGCGCCUCAACGAGGCCAGCCGAGGACGUGGCAACAGCGCUAUGACUCAGCUCUCCUCGUUCCGAGCUCUCUACCCUCUCCCACUUGGGCUCCUCCGUUGCCGUUCCCGUCCGUCCCGCGCGGCACUACGCAGCUGACGCCCUGCUAUCCCCUCCCCAAAAUCCCCACUUUAGUUGCUCGCUCGCUCGCUCGCUCGCACUCUCUCAUCCCCACCACCAAAAUAUCCUACUACUACCAACGCAGCAGACAUAUACACACCACGUCGCUCCACUCGCCGUACUCCCUCCCCUCUACAUUACCAAGCUUCUCGUCUCUUCGUCAUCGUACUAGGGCAAACCGAGAGCGAUUCCUAACAUCGUCGACGUCGUACGAAAGAGACGAGGGGGAAGAGAAGGAGGAGGUGGACUCUUUCUCUCUUUCUCUUUCUCUUUCUCUUUCUCUCUUUCCGUUGUGUGCUAAGCCAGCGCAAAAUUCUCUCUACCGAUGGAAGAAAAACACCUUUACCAAUCCCCUUCUUCUUCUUCGUCUUCUUCCUCUUUCUAUCUCUUUUCUAAGGAUUUCCUACUAUUUCGUCUUUUUCUCUUUGAAAUUCCACUUUCCGAUCGAAGUGCAAAGGAGAAAUAUAAAUCUUGAAAUGCCUCAUAUACGAAUGAUCGUUAUCAUACGUAUAUACAUACGUAACUCUAAUUUUAUAGAUAUGUAAGUAGAAGAAUCGAGGCUAGUAAACCUUGGAGUAUUUUAGUAUUCGUCAGUCUAAAGCGAAUCUUAUCGUGCGAAGAUGGCGAUUAUGGUACGGCAGGAAAGGGACUUCCUGCAAUUGCGGGAUGUACACACGUUCGCGAACCGCCUCUCCUCCUCCUUCUUCUUCUUCUUCUUCUUCUUUUCUCUUUAGCCUUCUCCUCUUUUCCCCUCUCUUCUUGCAUGACUAACCUAUAGUCAUCUUCGUCUUCGUCUUCGUCGCAGUCGCCGUCGCCGUCGUUGUUAUUGUCAUUGUCGUCGGCGUCGUCAUAAUGCAGUGUCGCGUGGUUAUGUUUCAUAUCUUGUUAGGUUGCAUACAUGACAAUAACACGUAUGUAUCUACGUGAAAAGUGAUUGGUCAGGUCGAAAUACCGAUAUCAUUUGACGAAAUCAAGUUUGUAACUACGUAAAUACGUAAGUAAGUUGUUAACAGGUUAAUGCUGGAAAAAAACAACGACGACGUGACGGCAUAUUUACACACGACGAUGUUUAAUUCUACGUUUAGUGCAUAUGCGUGGAAUUGCGUAAGCCAUCUUGAAAGUUUACCGUUCCUCCGUUCGAGGAGUCUACGUUUAAAAUAAUAAGCUUACUUUACAGAAAAAUAUAUUACAAGUAUUUGAAUAUUCCCAUUAAUAUGCAACGAUAUUCUUUUCCUAGCCAAUGUCUUCUUUGAAAACAAUUUACUAAUGACUUGUAUUUCACACGUUAUUUUAACCUUUAACAUCGUUGUGUUCUCCUUUUUAAACACAAUAAGAUAAUUUAUGGGUUUUUUAAUAUACGCGAAAAGUAUUUUCAACGUCAACGUUCAACGUUAAUGUUAUUUCGAGCUCGCAAUAGUGUCGAUUAUGAUGAUAAUUCUGUUCUCUUAUUUCUUCGAUUAAUACGAGAAAAAGAGAGAGAAAGAGAGAGAGAGAGAGAGAGAGGGAAAGAGAGAAGGGACGAAAGGAGGGAGAAGAGAGAAGGCAACGAUUACGAGGCCGCGUGGGUUCGAGGUCGCAGGCUCGAGUCACGUUAAGCGGUGAUUGCCGUCUCUGUCGUAGCCAAGGUGCCGUUAUUUUAAUGUAGAUACGUAGACCGGAUGAGAAUGAAAAGCCAGGGAGAGGGAGAGAGAAAGAGAGAGAGGAGAGAGAGGAGAGAGACAUUUUAUUAACGUAUACUGCAGAGAAUAUCGACAGAAAUGAAUAGUCGAUAAAUGUUGCCUCCUACCAAGUUAAUUCCACCUCAUUUUUUAUCCAUUUAUUUCCCUAGAUUCCCUGGAUUCUCUUAGAUUAUCGUUUAUCAACCAUAUAUUUUUCAAACUAUUUAACUUUCUCGCUGAUCUAACAUACGAAAGAUCAAUUUCGAUAUAAAUUCGAUAGGAUAUACUUUGUAUAAUUAACGAUGCAACGACAUUUGAAACACCUGUACGUCCUACGCCAUCUUUCCACAACAUGGCCGAUCAUAGGAAAUCAAAAUGGACGCUGCACUCGCCAUGUUCGAAGAAAUUAAUGAAUUAGAGGACAAUUGUUAAUAUAAAUUUAUAGACAUUGGAUUUAUACAUAUACAUACAUGUAUAUAUAUAUAUGUAGUACAUAUAAUAUAGUUUGUAAAUUUGUAGUUUUACAAUUUGACGAAGAAGAAGGAAAUAUUGAAGACGAGCAAUUGAUUUUUCAAAUAAUACGAGGAAACUUUCGGUCCUUAACUUUUUUCAUAAAAAAACAAAAGAACCAUGGUAUAUAAGAAUAAUAAUGUAUAUAUACCAUUUGACUCGAAACAAAUGUAAGCCUAUAUUUGUUGAAACUUUUCGAACAACAGGAUAGUAAGCGAAGAAUCUAGUGGGAGGUAGAGAGAAGAAUACAAGUAACGGUAGUCCAUAUUACGAUCGCCGCCGCGCCUAUAUUCUUGCUCGUGGCUUCUUCUGGGGGUUUUUCUCUCUCUUUCUCCCCCCCCCCUCUCUCUCUGCACGGAGAAAGCCAGUUCGAGUCUUUAGGUUAUGUUCUUCGUGCGUAUAGAGAAAGAGACAGAAAGAGGAAAAGAGAAGGGAAAGAGAAAAGAGAGAGACGUACAUACACACACACACAAGAAAAAAGUAUAUGUUGUAUCUCUACACAAUACUUUGUAAUAUUGCAUGUGCAUAUAUAGGUACGUAUGCAAAACCUUGGGUACCUUGGUCUUGGAGGAGCUACAUAAAAUGACGAAGUUCUGGCGACAGAAGAAAAAGAAAUAGAAUAAGAAGAAGAUAGAUAAAAAUGUUAGAAAAGACUAGAAUGAGAAGGAGAAGGAAAAGUUAGCAUGCGAGUCAGUGGCGUAACAUCCGAAAAAACGCAUGAUUGCUGGCCUCUCCCAUCUAUCUAUCUAUCUAUCUAUCUAUCUAUCUAUCUAUCUUUGUCUCUGUCUGUUCGUCUGUCUGUCUGUCUGCUGAUUGUCUAUCUAUCUUUCUUUAUCUCUCUCUAUCUCUCUCUCUCUCUCUCUCUCUCUCUCUCUCUCUCUCUCUCUCUAGGCUUGCAAAGCCUUUAAAAAAGAUACCUCGUUAAGCGAGAAUUUCUUUUCUUUUCUAUGCAUUGUCUGCGCAGGUAGAGUCCACGUAAACAGGAACCGUAGUAGCGCUUUUAACAAUGCACAUUUUUUCCUUCCCCUCUUCUUUUUCUUCUUCUUCUUCUUCUUCUUUUCCAUCUCCUUCCGUGUCAGGCAAAGAACUUAUAGAGAAAGAGAGAAAGAGACUAGAAGAGAACGACGAAAACGACAAUAAGGCGUGGCGUAAAAACGACGCAACCGGUUCCUCUCGAGUUUCGCAGUAACCUCUCUUUCUCUCUAUCUGACGUAUAUAUUCUUGUGAUUAGGAGAGAAAGAGACAGAUAAAUAGAUAGAGAUAGAGAUAGAGAUAAAGAUAGAGAUAGGCUAGACUCAAAUACAUUCUCCGUUCGAAUACUAUUAAUACGUACGCGUAAUCUUUGCUUAUAUAUCUCUUGCAGCAGCAUGGGACUCUCACAACUUCUUGACUAAUUCAUAACUAGUUUCUUAACUGAUUAUUAAUUAUAGACAUGUAUAUAAAGAACAAAAAAGAAUAAAACAUAUUUUACUCCU